UGGGGAAUUUUGCACAAUGGGGGAAACCCUGAUGCAGCGACGCCGCGUGAUUUAGAAGGCCUUCGGGUUGUAAAAAUCUUUUCUAUGGGAAUAAAAUGACAGUACCAUAGGAAUAAGGACCGGCUAAUUACGUGCCAGCAGCCGCGGUAAUACGUAAGGUCCGAGCGUUGUCCGGAAUCAUUGGGCGUAAAGGGUACGUAGGCGGGUAAGCAAGUUAGAAGUGAAAUCCUAUAGCUCAACUAUAGUAAGCUUUUAAAACUGCUCAUCUUGAAGUAUGGAAGGGAAAGUGGAAUUCCUAGUGUAGCGGUGAAAUGCGCAGAUAUUAGGAGGAAUACCGGUGGCGAAGGCGACUUUCUGGCCAUAACCUGACGCUGAGGUACGAAAGCGUGGGUAGCAAACAGG
rnacentral:rRNA from 1 species